GCAAUAACAGGUCUGUGAUGCCCUUAGAUGUCCUGGGCUGCACGCGCGCUACACUGAUGCGCUCAACGAGUUUAUGACCUUGCCCGGCAGGGUUGGGUAAUCUUCUUAAAACGCAUCGUGAUGGGGAUAGAUUAUUGCAAUUAUUAAUCUUCAACGAGGAAUUCCUAGUAAACGCAGUUCAUCAGACUGCAUUGAUUACGUCCCUGCCCUUUGUACACACCGCCCGUCGCACCUACCGAUUGAAUGUCUCGGUGAAAUCCCCGGAC
rnacentral:rRNA from 14 species